rnacentral:rRNA from 1 species
UACGUAGGGUGCGAGCGUUAAUCGGAAUUACUGGGCGUAAAGCGUGCGCAGGCGGUUUUGUAAGUCAGAUGUGAAAUCCCCGGGCUUAACCUGGGAACUGCGUUUGAAACUACAAGGCUAGAGUGUGGCAGAGGGGGGUGGAAUUCCACGUGUAGCAGUGAAAUGCGUAGAGAUGCGGAGGAACACCGAUGGCGAAGGCAGCCCCCUGGGCUGACACUGACGCUCAGGCACGAAAGCGUGGGGAGCAAACAGG